rnacentral:tRNA from 1 species
CAGUGGGUAGUUUAAUUUAGAAUUCUAGCUUUGGGAGCUAGUGGUGGGAGUUAAAAUCUCUUCCCUCUG